rnacentral:rRNA from 1 species
UGGGGAAUAUUGGACAAUGGGCGAAAGCCUGAUCCAGCCAUGCCGCGUGUGUGAAGAAGGUCUUCGGAUUGUAAAGCACUUUAAGUUGGGAGGAAGGGCAGUAAGCGAAUACCUUGCUGUUUUGACGUUACCGACAGAAUAAGCACCGGCUAACUCUGUGCCAGCAGCCGCGGUAAUACAGAGGGUGCAAGCGUUAAUCGGAAUUACUGGGCGUAAAGCGCGCGUAGGUGGUUCGUUAAGUUGAAUGUGAAAGCCCCGGGCUCAACCUGGGAACUGCAUCCAAAACUGGCGAGCUAGAGUAGGGCAGAGGGUGGUGGAAUUUCCUGUGUAGCGGUGAAAUACAUAGAUAUAGGAAGGAACACCAGUGGCGAAGGCGACCACCUGGGCUCAUACUGACACUGAGGUGCGAAAGCGUGGGGAGCAAACAGG